UAGGGAAUUUUCGUCAAUGGGGGCAACCCUGAACGAGCAAUGCCGCGUGAGCGAAGAAGGUCUUCGGAUUGUAAAGCUCUGUUGCCGGGGAAAAAGGAAGGAAAGAGGAAAUGCUUUUCUUUGGAUGGUACCCGGCCAGAAAGU
rnacentral:rRNA from 1 species